rnacentral:rRNA from 1 species
UACGUAGGGUACGAGCGUUGUCCGGAAUUACUGGGCGUAAAGAGUUCGUAGGCGGUUUGUCGCGUCGUUCGUGAAAACUUGGGGCUUAACUCCAAGCGUGCGGGCGAUACGGGCAGACUUGAGUACUACAGGGGAGACUGGAAUUCCUGGUGUAGCGGUGAAAUGCGCAGAUAUCAGGAGGAACACCGGUGGCGAAGGCGGGUCUCUGGGCCGAUACUGACGCUGAGGAGCGAAAGCGUGGGGAGCGAACAGG